AGUAAGGUAAGCUAAACAAGCUAUUGGGCCCAUACCCCAAACAUGUUGGUAAAUAACCCCUCCCUUACUA
rnacentral:tRNA from 1 species